rnacentral:rRNA from 1 species
GACGAACGCUGGCGGCGUGCUUAACACAUGCAAGUCGAACGAAAAGGCCCUGCUUUUGUGGGGUGCUCGAGUGGCGAACGGGUGAGUAACACGUGAGUAACCUGCCCUUUACUUCGGGGUAACUUCAGGAAACUCGGGCUAAAACCGGGUAGAACCACUUGCUGCAUGGGGUGGGUUGUAAAAUUUCGGCGUUUCGGGAUGGACUCGUGGCUUAUCAGCUUGUUGGCGGGGUAGUGGCUUACCAAGGCUCUGACGGGUAGCCGGCCUGAGAGGGUGACCGGCCACAUUGGGACUGAGGUACGGCCCAGACUGCUACGGGAGGCAGCGGUGGGAAAUAUUGCACAAUGGGCGGAAGCCUGAUGCAGCAACUCCGGGUGCGGGAUGACGGCUUUUGGGGUAUAAACCGCUUUCGCCUGUAACGAAGAGUGAGUGACGGUAAUGGGUAAGGAAGCAACGGCUAACUACGUG